rnacentral:misc_RNA from 1 species
ACCUUCCCUUGCAUUAUUGGAUGGAUAGACACGGACAGACAACAAACAAACUGAUCCACCAAAACAUGAAGAGCCAGCAGCAUGUCGUCCUCGCUGCUCUCAUCGUCGUCGUCGUCGCCACCAUAUUGGUGCAGACGACGCCGCCGCCGCGUGGUGCGGAGGCGGCCAUUAUUCCGGGUAAUGUUAGCGCCCCCAACGCCGUCGUCUUCGGCGUAGUGCCAUGCAGCACCGGGAGCUCCAUCAACGUGGCCACCGCCCCGCCGUUCCCAAACGCCAGCCUACAGCUGCAGUGCGGCGCCGCCUCCCUUGCUGGCAACGUGAGUGGACGCGCGACGACGGCAGACAGCCGCGGCAACUUCCUCGUCGGCGUGGGCGUCAUCCGCAACGCCAACAGCAGCGGCGGGGCGGUGCUCUCGCUCUCCUCCAUGCUGCUGGGCAACCAGUGCAGCGUGGUGGUCACCACCCCGCUGGCCGCCUGCAACGUGUCCCUGGCCGGCGCCAAUAAUGGCACGCUCAGCGCGCCGGUUCGGGUCGUCGGCGGCGGGCCGCUCCUCGGCGGACUGCUCGGUCUGGCCGCCGGGCCCUUCUCCUUCUCAUUCUCGAACCGAAGCUCUUCUCCUCUAGGUCGUCGUAGGAUGAUGGGGUCGUAGGACGAUGGGAUGUGAUCUCCAACAAAUAAAAGGAACUACUGCGACUACGAGGGAGGGAGUCUAUAGAUGCAUGGAAUAAAUUAAACAAAUGAUGAUAUGUGUACCGUGUGUUGUGUUGUGUUAUCAUAUCACGUAAUUAUACGUAUAUAUAUACCUGUACCGUGCGUUGUAUUAUGGUACUAAUAAUAAGCACGUACGUAUAACAUGCUUCUCUGCAACGCAC